rnacentral:lncRNA from 1 species
UUCUAUUUCUUCAUUUGCUGCACACACAACUCACAUUGUUUUCUUUAUUUCACUAUAAAUUGCCCAUUGUCUAGGAUAAUUACACAUCCCAUUCAGUUGUAAAUACAUGUCUUCUAAAUAAUAAAGUACAAUCCCCCAUUGUGAAUAGUAUCAGGCCUUCUAUCUUUUCAAAUGAUGGUAUAAAUAUGAUGUGGCAUAACAGACUGGGUCAUGUACCCUUUGCCAAGAUGAGACGAAUGUCUAGUAUUCCAGCAUCUUUCUUAUAAAAACAACCUUUUACCUGCUCUAUCUGCCCAAUGGUAACACAGAGGAGAUUUUCAUUCCCAGAAAAAUCCACUAAUUCCACCAAAAUCUUUCAACUACUUUAUGUUGAUCUUUGGGCUACUUAUCAUAUGCCAACAUAUGACAACUUCGAAUAUUUCAUUACCAUAGUGGAUGAUUAUAGUCGUUCCAUAUGGACCCACAUAUUAGCUAGUAAAAGUAAUGCCCUGCAUGUCAUCAAGAACUUUGUAUCAAUGAUUGAAAACCAAUUCAACACUACUAUACAAUUUAUAGUCGAACAAUGGUCUAGAGUUCAACAACACAUAAGCAAAAAAGUUUUUCUUGUCUAACAGGAUAAUCCACCAGAAGACAUGUCCUUACACACCACAACAAAAUGGCAUAGCAGAAAGAAAUCAUAGAUACUUGUUAGAAACUGCCAGAGCCCUUCUAUGUUAACCAAAAUUGCAUCUGAGAUAUUGGAUCUUGUGUGCAACUUAUAUAAUAAAAAGAUUACCCUCUACUCAUUCUAAGGGCAAGUUACUAUAUGAACUACUAUAUAACAGAAAACCUACUUACUCUCAUAUGAGGAAUUUUGGUUGCCUGUUCUAUCUCGAUGUACCCAAGAUCUACAAAGAUAAAUUUGAACCAAGAACCAAACCACAUAUCUUUCUUGGGUUUCCUUUUGGGAUAAAGGGGUACAAAGUACUCAGUCUGGCCUCUAAGAAAACACGUGUAUCUAGAGAUGUAGUAUUCAAUAAAAAUAUUUUUCCUUUUAGUAUGUCCAAAGAUAAUGUCUCCUUUCCUUUUGUUCAAAAAAUCCAUUCCUUUUAUUGAUUAUGCGUCUACCGAGAAUAAACAGACUUAUACUAGUGAAUCAAAUGAUCAAGUGGUUCCAAAUGUUACUCAUUCAGAUUUGUCAUAUAAUCCACCUCCUUCACCAUAUUCUCCCAAUAAUAUAGAUUCACUUGUUCUAGAAGACUCACAAAAUAAUUCACCAAUAAGGCCUAUUGGGAAUACUUCACCUGAUUGUGUUUUGCCUACUUCACCUAAUCAUGUUUUGUAGCCAAGACAAUCUCAUAGAACACAUAAAGUUCCCACAUACUUGAAGGAUUAUGUCCUUAAAUUGCCCCAACUAAAACUAAAUACCAAUGUUUAAAAUACUAAUAAUCAGACCGCUUCACCUUUUUGUCUUCAUGCCUUAUCUUCUACCCUUAAUAAUAUAUCUAUUAAGGAUCUGAACCAGGAUAGUCAGUGCCUUGUGAAAAGCAUUUGUAGUGAUACAGAGCCAAUUCAAAUGAGGAAGAAGCUGUGAAUACUGCCUAGCAAGAAGCCAUGACACAGGAAUUUGGGGCAUUACAUUCCAAUAAAACAUGGGAGCUAGUACCACUACCAGUUAGAAAACAAGCCAUAUGGUGUAAGUGGAAGUAUAAAGUGACGUAUAAGGCAGAUGGUAGCUUAGAGAGGUUCAAGGCUAGGUUUGUUGUAAAGGUUUAUAUCCAGCAAGCUGGAAUUGAUUACAUAGAAACAUUCAGUCAUGUGGUGAAAAUCAUAACAAUAAGAGUUCCCAUAGUUGUUGUAGUCAAGAAGGGCUGGGACAUAUUCCAGCUAUAUGUGAAUAAUCCCUUCCUUUAUGGGGAUCUCCAUAAAGAGGUAUAUAUGAAAGUUCCACAAGUCUUAGUGGUAGACAGUGGAAAUCUGGUAUAUAAUCUCACAAAGUCCUUGUAUGGCCUUAAACAAGCAAGUAGAUAGUGGUAUGCCAAACUAGGUGAAGCACUGUGCUGUAAAGGAUACACCUAUUCCAUGUAUGACUAAUCACUUUUCUAUAAGAAGACACCUGAGUCAACAGUAUAUGUGGAAGUAUAUGUAGAUUAUAUGAUCCUAACAGGAACAAACAAGAAGGAGAUAGCGGAGCUAAAAGCAUUUCUACAUGACAGCUUCAAGAUCAAAGAUUUGGGCAAGCUGCAAUAUUUUUUGGGGCUAGAAAUACUCUAUUAAGCUAAUGAAGUUAUAAUCUCACAAAGAAAGUUUGUGUUUGAUCUGCUGAAUGACUACAACUGUAUGGAUUAUAGUAGCCUUCCUCAACACUUGAUCUAACAGUAAUGCUGAAAGAAAAAGAGGGCGCUACACUAACUGACCCUACCUAUUACAGAAAACUAGUUGGACAAUUGAACUUUCUUACUAGCACAAGGAUGGACAUAGCCUGUAGCGUGCAGUACCUUAGCCAAUUCAUGCAAGAUCUAAGAGAACCCCACUUUAAAGCAGUUUUUCACUUGCAUAGAUACUUGAAGAGUGAUCCUGCAAUGCGAAUCUUUAUAUCACAUGAUACAAACUGCAACAUUAAAGUUUAUUGUGACUCUGAUUGGGCUGUUUACCCAGAUUCAAGGAAGUCAGUGAGUGGCUACAUAAUUCUAUUAGGAAACAGUCUUAUAUGCUGGAAAUCCAAGAAGCAAGAGACCAUUUCAGUGUCAUCGGUAGAAGUAGAAUACAUAGCACUUAGAAAAGUAGUAGGUGAGUUGAUGUGGCUAUGUCGAUUACUUGAGGAACUUACUGUGCCUUUUGCUAAACCUGUGGAGAUGUUUUGUGAUAGCCAAUCAUUGCACAUAGCAAGAAACUCAGUAUUUCAUGAGCGGACAGGAGUAAAGCAUGUGGCAAUAGACAAUCAGUUGGUUGAUGUCCUCACCAAGGCUUUAAACAGGAGUAAAGCACUCAGCAAUACAGGACAAGUUGGUCGUGUUACAACACCUUCAACUUGAGGGGUAGUG